rnacentral:rRNA from 1 species
ACUAAGGUGGAAAUUUUUUUUUUGAAUUUUUAUUUAUAUGAGUUUUUUUUUUUGUCAGAUUGAACGCUGGCGGCAGGCCUAACACAUGCAAGUCGAGCGGUAGCACAGGGAGCUUGCUCCUGGGUGACGAGCGGCGGACGGGUGAGUAAUGUCUGGGAAACUGCCUGAUGGAGGGGGAUAACUACUGGAAACGGUAGCUAAUACCGCAUAACGUCUACGGACCAAAGUGGGGGACCUUCGGGCCUCAUGCCAUCAGAUGUGCCCAGAUGGGAUUAGCUAGUAGGUGGGGUAAUGGCUCACCUAGGCGACGAUCCCUAGCUGGUCUGAGAGGAUGACCAGCCACACUGGAACUGAGACACGGUCCAGACUCCUACGGGAGGCAGCAGUGGGGAAUAUUGCACAAUGGGCGCAAGCCUGAUGCAGCCAUGCCGCGUGUGUGAAGAAGGCCUUCGGGUUGUAAAGCACUUUCAGCGAGGAGGAAGGGUAGUGUGUUAAUAGCACAUUGCAUUGACGUUACUCGCAGAAGAAGCACCGGCUAACUCCGUGCCAGCAGCCGCGGUAAUACGGAGGGUGCAAGCGUUAAUCGGAAUUACUGGGCGUAAAGCGCACGCAGGCGGUUUGUUAAGUCAGAUGUGAAAUCCCCGCGCUUAACGUGGGAACUGCAUUUGAAACUGGCAAGCUAGAGUCUUGUAGAGGGGGGUAGAAUUCCAGGUGUAGCGGUGAAAUGCGUAGAGAUCUGGAGGAAUACCGGUGGCGAAGGCGGCCCCCUGGGACAAAGACUGACGCUCAGUGGAAGACGCC